CUACGGGUCGCUGCAGUGGGGAAUAUUGCACAAUGGGCGCAAGCCUGAUGCAGCCAUGCCGCGUGUAUGAAGAAGGCCUUCGGGUUGUAAAGUACUUUCAGCGGGGAGGAAGGGAGUAAAGUUAAUACCUUUGCUCAUUGACGUUACCCGCAGAAGAAGCACCGGCUAACUCCGUGCCAGCAGCCGCGGUAAUACGGAGGGUGCAAGCGUUAAUCGGAAUUACUGGGCGUAAAGCGCACGCAGGCGGUUUGUUAAGUCAGAUGUGAAAUCCCCGGGCUCAACCUGGGAACUGCAUCUGGAACUGGCAAGCUUGAGUCUCGUAGAGGGGGGUAGAAUUCCGGGUGUAGCGGUGAAAUGCGUAGAGAUCUGGAGGAAUACCGGUGGCGAAGGCGGCCCCCUGGACGAAGACUGACGCUCAGGUGCGAAAGCGUGGGGAGCAAACAGGAUUAGAUACCCCCGAGUC
rnacentral:rRNA from 1 species